UUUUAAUAGUUAAAUUUUAUUUUAUAAUGUAAAAUUAAAAUUUUUAUAAUAAUUAAAUCUAUAUCAUUCUUGUUGGUUUUGUAGCUAAAAUAAUUGAAUUAUUUGUUUUAUAUUAAUUUAAUGUAAAUGAGUAUUUAUUAUAAUUAUUUAAGUUUAAUUUAUUUUUAUUACCUUUUGUAUCAGGGUCUAUUAAAAUUAAUAUAUUACAUUAUUUAUCUCGAAAGUAGAGGAGCUACAAUAUUAUGUAAGUUAAUGUUUCAUUAUUAUUUAUAAUAUUUUUGUAGGGGUGAGAUGCUAUACGUUUUUACUGAUAUCUAGUUUUUGCUGAAUCUAAUUUAAUUAGGGGUGAUAUUUUUAAUUUUGGUAAUAAUUUUUUUUUGAUAUUAUUGCAACAUAAUUUUUUACCUUAUACCUUGAGGGAUUACCUUCAAGGUGUGUUAAAAAUUUUUUUUACUUUAAUUUUUAAAUAUUAUAGACAAUAUUUUUAAUAUAUAGAAAAAAUUUAAUAAUUUAUUAUUUUAAACGUUUAAGAAAGUUGUUUAGCUUGAUUUUAUUUAUAUAUUUUUAAUUAUAUAAGCAAAUUAAUUAUUUAAUAAAAAUUUAAUUGAAAUAAUGAUAGAAUAAGUAUAAUUUAGUUUUACAUUUAAAAUUUUAUUUUUUUGAUGUAUUAAGUUUAUGAAUUAGGCAAAAUUUAGGUUCAUCUGUUUAUCAAAGACAUAUUCUUUAGAUUAAUAGUUUAAGGUGGUCCCUGCUCAAUGAUUUUUUAAAUAGCCGCAGUAAUAUGACUGUGCGAAGGUAGCAUAAUAACUUGCCUUCUAAUUAGAGGCUUGAAUGAAUGGGUUAAUGAGAUCUAAACUUUAUUAAUUUAUUUUUUUAGAAUUUAAAAUUUAAGUUAAAAUUCUUAAAUUGAUUCAGAGGACGAGAAGACCCUAUAGAAUUUAAUAUAAUAUUUUAUUAUUGUUUAUUUUACUUUAAAUAAUAAACUAUUUUAUUUAGUUGGGAGGAUUUCUAAAUUAAUUAAACUUUAGAUUAUUAUAAAUCAAUUUAUUGUUGAAUUUAAAUGAUUAUAGUUAGAUGUUCAAGAAUUAAUUACCUUAGGGAUAACAGCGUAAUACUUUUGGGUAGUUCAUAUAUAUAAAAGUGUUUGCGACCUCGAUGUUGAAUUAAGAUUAGUUUAUAAGUAGAUUUAUAAUUUUUAAGUCUGUUCGACUUUUUUGAUCUUACAUGAUUUGAGUUCAGAUCGGCGUGAGCCAGAUCGGUUUCUAUCCUUGAAUAAUUUAAAUAAUUUUUGUACGAGAGGACUUAAUUAUUUUAACUUGUUAAAAAAUUUUGUUAAUAUU
rnacentral:rRNA from 1 species